ACAGGUGCCUGCGAAAGCGAAAGCUGAAGUAUAGGUGCUGACGCCUGCCCGGUGCUGGAAGGUUAAGGAGAGAGGUCAGCUAAGGCGAAGCUUUGAACUGAAGCCCCAGUGAACGGCGGCCGUAACUAUAACGGUCCUAAGGUAGCGAAAUUCCUUGUCGGGUAAGUUCCGACCCGCACGAAAGGCGUAACGAUUUGGGCACUGUCUCAACGAGGGACCCGGUGAAAUUGAAAUACCUGUGAAGAUGCAGGUUACCCGCGACUGGACAGAAAGACCCCAUGGAGCUUUACUGCAGCUUGAGAUGGAAUCUCGGAAGUAGAUGCACAGGAUAGGUGGGAGACAAAGAAGUAUGUACUUAGGUAUGUAUGGAGUCGAUGUUGGGAUACCACCCUUCUAGUUCUGGGAUUCUAACGCCAGGAGUAACGACCCUGCGGACAAUCUCAGGUAGGCAGUUUGACUGGGGCGGUCGCCUCCGAAAGAGUAACGGAGGCGCCCAAAGGUUCCCUCAGGUCGGACAGAAACCGACCGACGAGUGCAAAGGCAGAAGGGAGCUUGACUGCGAGACCAACAAGUCGAGCAGAGACGAAAGUCGGGCUUAGUGAUCCGGUGGUUCCGAGUGGAAGGGCCAUCGCUCAACGGAUAAAAGCUACCCUGGGGAUAACAGGCUAAUCUCUCCCAAGAGUCCAUAUCGACGGGGAGGUUUGGCACCUCGAUGUCGGCUCAUCACAUCCUGGGGCUGGAGUAGGUCCCAAGGGUUGGGCUGUUCGCCCAUUAAAGUGGUACGCGAGCUGGGUUCAAAACGUCGUGAGACAGUUUGGUUCAUAUCCAUCGCGGGCGCAAGAAGUUUGAGAGGAGCUGCUCCUAGUACGAGAGGACCGGAGUGGACGGAUCAACGGUGUCCCAGUUGUCACGCCAGUGGCACGGCUGGAAAGCCGCAUCCGGGAAGGAUAAACGCUGAAAGCAUCUAAGCGUGAAGCCAACCUCAAGAUGAGACUUCUCAUCAGCAAUGAGUAAGACCCCUUACAGACGAUGAGGUAGAUAGGUUAUGAGUGGAAGAGCCGCAAGGCUUGGAGCGACAUAAAACUAAUAGGUCGAGGUCUUAACUUA
rnacentral:rRNA from 1 species